rnacentral:rRNA from 1 species
UACGUAGGGUGCAAGCGUUGUCCGGAAUUAUUGGGCGUAAAGAGCUCGUAGGCGGUUUGUUGCGUCGGCUGUGAAAUCCCGAGGCUCAACCUCGGGUCUGCAGUCGAUACGAGCAAACUAGAGUGUUGCAGGGGAGACUGGGAUUCCUGGUGUAGCGGUGAAAUGCGCAGAUAUCGGGAGGAACACCAGUGGCGAAGGCGGCACUCUGGGCCAGUAUUGACGCUGAGGAGCGAAAGCGUGGGGAGCGAACAGG